UGAAUAUUUUACGUAACAGUCGGUUCAACUUCACUAUCUGACUACUAUUGUUUAUGUAUAUGAGCUUAUAGUAUAAUGACACGUAACCCACAAUUUCAGGUUCUGUCUGUUGUCAUAGGAGCCUAACCAACCAAUAGCCACUCAGCUCACAUACAGACUGCCACAUGGCUUAACAUUCUCCAUUAUUGGUGUGAUUCAAACAUCUCACUUUCUCUUCUUUGUCAUCAAUGUCUCUUAUUAAUUCCACUACAAUUUCCCUUACUUUGUUUUUUCCUAGUUAUGUUAACAUAAGCAUCUACUGUGAAUUGAUAUUUAGUUUGGUUAUCAGGUACAUCAAGUUUGACACAUUCACUCCUGCAGCAGAACGCGGACUUCCAGUCACUAGAGUUAUUAGUAGAAUGGCUUUACAAGAGAUUCUUGCUUGUGCAGUAGGGGAAGAUGUCGUUAUGAAUGCCAGUAAUGUUGUCGAUUUUGUUGAUCAUGGAACUAAGGUAUUUAAAGAAAACUUUUAUGUUGAAGAUACUCUUCAGAUUGCUAUCAUAGAUAUUAUUUUUAAGACUAAUAUGAUUAGACAUUAUUUGGCUUAUCACUUGUGUCAACCCACAUUCAUCAAUUGUAUUGUAAGUAACAGUGGUGUUGGAGAAUGGUCAUAAAUAUGAUGGCGAUCUCUUGGUUGGAGCAGAUGGGAUUAGGUCCAAGGUGAGGACAAAGUUAUUUGGGGCAACAGAAGCUACAUACUCUGGAUAUACUUGUUAUACUGGUAUAGCAGAUUUUGUGCCACCUGACAUUGAAUCUGUUGGGUACCGAGUAUUCUUGGGACACAAGCAAUAUUUCGUAUCGUCAGAUGUAGGUGCUGGAAAGAUGCAAUGGUAUGCAUUUCACCAAGAACCUGCUGGCGGUAUUGACACCUCUAAUGGUAUGUGCUCGUAAACUAAAAGUAACAACUGUCACAGGAUUAACUAUAUUUUAAGAACCGAACCAGAUGAUUUAAGUGAUUGAAUCUUGAACUAAAAUUUACUACCGUUCGUUAUUUUUGAGGUUUGAUCGCAAUUUGAGCAGAACAUGAUCUAGAAGUCUAACCGGUUUGACGUACACUUAUGUAAUCAUUCUAUCUUAUGUAAUAUAACCCUCAUUUUAUCUACAACAUUAAUGUCUACACUUUUCUUAGUAUUUCAACCUAAGAAUGUUUGGUCUAAUAAUAUUCUCUCUGUUGCUCAUUAAAAAAAACAUUGACAAUGUUCAUGUUUAGAAAUGAACAAGAGUUUAAGGAAUUGCCAAUAGCAUAUUUAGUUUUUGGUGGAUUGUUUUGUUAAUCUCACCCCAUCCCACAAGCAAGUCAUGCAUAUGUUUGAUCUUCAUUUUCAGAUCUUAUCUCAUUUAAUAUGAAACUCAUAACAGAUACUAAACAAUCACAUCAAAUUUCAGGAAAUUGAUAAAGUCAGUUUCAUCUAUACUGCAUAAUCCUCAAAAUUAUUUCAAGCAAAAAAAGCAUAGAAAAUACAGAAAUGAACUUUCAUACCCUUA